rnacentral:rRNA from 1 species
GCGGGGGAUACUGCUGGGCUAGGGGACGAGAGAGGCCGACGGUAUUCUCGGAGUAGGGGUGAAAUCCUAUAAUUCCGGGAGGACCACCAGUGGCGAAGGCUGUCGGCUAGAACGAGCUCGACGGUGAGGGACGAAAGCUGGGGGAGCGAACCGGAUUAGAUACCCGGGUAGUCCCAGCUGUAAACGAUGCGGGCUAGGUGUUAGGGUGGCUACGUGCCACUCUAGUGCCGCAGCGAAGGCAUUAAGCCCGCCGCCUGGGGAGUACGGCCGCAAGGCUGAAACUUAAAGGAAUUGGCGGGGGAGCACCACAAGGCGUGAAGCGUGCGGUUUAAUUGGAGUCAACACCGGAAACCUUACCGGGGGCGACAGCAGGUUGAAGGCCAGACUGACGAUCUUGCCAGACAAGCUGAGAGGAGGUGCAUGGCCGUCGCCAGUUCGUGCCGUGAGGUGUCCUGUUAAGUCAGGCAACGAUCGAGACCCACAUUCCCUGUUGCUACUGAGGAAAUUUCCAAGGAGCCACUCUGGGAAGAC